UGAAAUGCAUAGAUAUCACGAGGAACUCCGAUUGCGCAGGCAGCUUACCAAGCCGUAACUGACGCUCAAGCACGAAGGCGUGGGGAUCAAACAGGAUUAGAUACCCUGGUAGUCCACGCAGUAAACGAUGAUUACUGGCUGUUUGCGAUAUAAUGUAAGCGGCUGAGCGAAAGCGUUAAGUAAUCCACCUGGGGAGUACGUUCGCAAGAAUGAAACUCAAAGGAAUUGACGGGGGCCCGCACAAGCGGAGGAACAUGUGGUUUAAUUCGAUGAUACGCGAGGAACCUUACCCGGGCUUGAAAUGCAUCUGGCGUCCCGAGAGAUCGGGAUUUCCCACGGGACAGAUGCGUAGGUGCUGCAUGGUUGUCGUCAGCUCGUGCCGUGAGGUGUCGGCUUAAGUGCCAUAACGAGCGCAACCCCUACCGUUAGUUGCCAUCAGGUCAAGCUGGGGACUCUAACGGGACUGCCAUCGUAAGGUGCGAGGAAGGUGGGGAUGACGUCAAAUCAGCACGGCCCUUACGUCCGGGGCGACACACGUGUUACAAUGGGUGGUACAAAGGGCAGCUACAUGGCGACAUGGUGCCAAUCUCCAAAACCACUCUCAGUUCGGAUCGGAGUCUGCAACUCGACUCCGUGAAGCUGGAUUCGCUAGUAAUCGCGCAUCAGCCACGGCGCGGUGAAUACGUUCCCGGGCCUUGUACACACCGCCCGUCAAGCCAUGGAAGCUGGGGGCGCCUGAAGUCCGUAACCGUCAAAGGAGCGGCCUAGGGUAAAACCGGUGACUGGGGCUAAGUCGUAACAAGGUAACC
rnacentral:rRNA from 1 species